rnacentral:misc_RNA from 1 species
AAAGUCGUAACAAGGUUUCCGUAGGUGAACCUGCGGAAGGAUCAUUAAUGAAACUUCAAGUCGGCUGUUCUGUGCUGGUGGCAACACAUGUGCACGUUCAGUCGCAAUCCACACACCUGUGCACUUUGACUCUGAGCACCGCCGGUAACACGGCAGAAGGUUUGAGAUGAAGGUCUUAACCUGGUACUCGAGUAGUUUACACACUCUGUAUGUAAUAGAAUGUACCUGUACAAUGUACAACUAUAAACAACUUUCAACAACGGAUCUCUUGGCUCUC